GCCUCCUAAUAACACAAAUUUUCAUUCCCAAAUAUGGUGCAUCCAUUCUCACGCUUUUCCCAUUCCAAUGACUACCACCCCAACUCUGCCCAAUCAUUUUUCUUUCUCACCACUCCCUUGCCUCCAGACCUUUCAUUGAAAUCAUGUUAUCUCCCCUCAUCAUCCUCUCCCCUUCCAUCCUCAUCACAGAUUUACCUCCCAUAACCUAUCUUUCACUCACUUGGCUUCACCCACACGAGUUCUUCUCCACCACUUCGAGUCCCUCCACUGCCGCCGUCAAUGACACCGAUUCACGUUUCGAGCCCCAGUCAUCCGUCUGCUUCCCCUCUCCUUUCUGUCGUGUUUGCAGUCCCCCACUCCUGGUGAAACUUCCUCUCUCAAUCCCUAAAUUGCAUUCACGUUCCUACCUCUCUCUGAAGCUUCCCCGUGCCUCUUUGCCCAAGGAAUCAAUUCAACCUUUAAAAACUGGUGCAGCAACGAUCCCUCUCCCCCAACGAUCUCUCUCCGCGUACAGGCUAUCCUUGAUUUGGUUCUCAGCUUGCUCUUUGCUGGCCAUGAAACUUCAUCAGUUCCAUAGCUCUAGCUAUUUACUUCGUGCCAGGUUGUCCUCAAGCUAUGCAACAAUUAAGGGAAGAGCACAGUGAAAUUUCCAGACUCAAGAAGCAGGCAGAGGAAGUUGAAUUGACUUGGGAAGACUACAUGUAGUUUUGAAAUAUUUUGCUUUGUUUUAUAUGUUCUCUGAUUCUCCUUUGCUCCUUUUGUUUAUGCUAAGUUUACAGCUAAUCAAUUAUUUUCAAAUUGUUGCAAAUCCCUCUUUGCUCUUUUUCCAAGGAAAGAAAGAAGUGAUAAGAAAUCAACAUGAAUAUGAAGCUUCUGUGAGCAAGGGAAUUUGCUUUAGCAUAGCUGAGAGAAGUUGUGGAACAUAUUUGUUUCCUCAAAUCCUGUGUUAGAAGCAUCUUGAUUUUUUUAUUUUGUUUUUUCUAUAAUUUAUUGGCUGGUCCUGUUGAAACAUGUGUUAACAAGGUCUUCUUUGGUGUCGACAGGUCAUGGAGUGCAGCUACUGCUCAGUUUUUUUAAGUUGGAUUCAUUGAUUGCAAUAUUAUAUGUCUCCUUUGAGAUUCUUGAUUUUUUUUAGUUGCAGUGUACAUUUGUCCCUUUGCUUUCUGGUCUGGGAGUAACAACUUCUGUACUUUUUUUUAGUUUGUGAUAUUUAAGAAAGUUUUAUGACUGGUUAUUCUUUUCCAUUCAAUGCUCCCUAUUUUUUUCCCACAUACUUUAUGACUGAUUAUUGUUUUGACUGAUUACUUUCAAAUUAGUUGUAAGUUCAUAUUGUUUCUUUUAAGUAUUAUCUCUUAUGGUAACUCAUUUCCUUCAUGAAUUGUCAGGUUGAGCUUUUCUCAAGUCUUUUCCAUGAAUUCUUUUUGGAUUUGUUUAUCUCAUUAGGUUAAUUUUCGUUGGUGGUCUAUCAAAUCAUUUUUUGGCUUUUUGUUUUGUGGUCAAAGUAGAUGAGUAAUUUAAUUUCCAACCUCCAUGUUGGAGAGGUUAAAAUUCAAUUGGUUGGUUUAUGUUUCAUAUUGGUUUAAAGGGAUGAUAACGCUCUUGACUAUACCUUCCAGGUAUUAUGGGGAAAAUGCUCACUGCUCUGAACAUUAAUUGCUGCAAAAGGGUUACCCUGUUCAGUUUUCAAGGUUGUUAGAUAUGAGAAAGAUAAAGAAAACACUUAGUGGACUAAUUAGUAGUCUCAGUUAUGCAAAUAAGCUGCAAUAAAUUCCUGUUUAUAAUGUAAUCCAUAUUGCAGAAGAAAAAUUGAUUGGCAUUGCUCAAUGGGUCUUUUAGCAGCAAAAUAGUUGAACGAGAGGAGAGUUUGAACAUUGUCGGAUACCUCAAAUUUUGAACACUGUCACAUUGUCAUUUGUUUCAAUUGGCAAUGCUUAAGUAGAUCCUCCAAUGGGGUUUUGAGGGGUUUAUUGUUAUUUCUUCAAUUUAUUGGCUGGUGCUAUUUUGUUUCAAUACUCAAAUCUUUUCUCUUUUUUAAUUUAUUUGCAAAAACAAGUACUCCUUCAUGCUUCUAAUUCUGAUUACCAAUGUUUCAUAUUUUGCUCAUAUAA